rfam:Oryza rufipogon genomic scaffold, chr06
UAUAAGUGGAGCCAUAAAGUUUUGUGUUCAACUUUGAUCGUCUGUUUUAUUUAAAUUUAAAUUUUUUUUAUGAUUAGCAUUUUUAUUGUUAUUAGAUGAUGAAAUAUGAAUAGCUUAUAUUUUUUAUUUUUUAAAAAAAAAUUAAGACGAACUAUUAAAGUUGAACACGGAAACUUAUUGCUGCACUUAAA